rnacentral:rRNA from 1 species
AUUGAACGCUGGCGGCAGGCCUAACACAUGCAAGUCGAACGCGUGGCGGCCGGGUGAGUAAUGUCUGGGAAAAUGCCCGAUGGAGGGGGAUACCUACUGGAAACGGUAGCUAAUACCGCAUACAAUCGGAUGUGCCCAGAUUGGAUUAGCUAGUAGGUGGGGUAACGGCUCACCUAGGCGACGAUCCCUAGCUGGCCUGAGAGGAUGACCAUCCAAACUGGAACUGAGACACGCUCCCGAAGCCUAAGGGAGGCAGCAGUGGGGAAGAUUGCACAAAGGGCGAGAGCCGGAUGCAGCCAUGCCGCGUGUAUGAAGAAGGCCGUCGGGUUGUAAAGUACUUUCAGCGAGGAGGCGUUACUCGCAGAAGAAGAACCGGCUAACUCCGUGCCAGCAGCCGCGGUAAUCC